rnacentral:hammerhead_ribozyme from 1 species
ACCAGUUGAUGAGUCCCAGAUAGGACGAAAUCCGCAUCCUUGAU